rnacentral:rRNA from 1 species
GAAAGUUGAAAAGAACUUUGAAGAGAGAGUUCAAAAGGGCGUGAAACCGCUUAGAAUAAAACGGACGGAGCCGUCAGUGGCCUUCCGGAAUCAGUCGUAUGACGCGCGAUAAUGCGUUGCCUUAGAGCGAAAGUCUGGGUGCGCGUUAGGAAAUAGUAGCGUUCAUUCGAUGCAUUUCCGGAGGGUAUGCGCCACGACCGAUGCGAAAGGCUAGUGAAUCCGGCGGAUUGAGGUGGAAAACCCCUCGUGGGUCUUCAGUACCAGUUCGUCGGCCUAUAGUCGCUAGACCGCAGUAUGCAUCGAGCGCGGAAUAUAUCGAACACUGGCAAAAAUGCUCGUUUAAGCGGCGGAUUGUCGACGGAAUAUUCCGUACCUGCUCGCAGGUUAUGUUUAUUCCCGUUCGGCCUUUGAAGUCGCGGACGAGUUUAUGGUGUUCGGGCGUCAGUGGCGUCCGAGACGGUCAACCGUCCGACCCGUCUUGAAACACGGACCAAGGAGUCUAACGUACGCGCGAGCUAAUGAGUGGAAAACUCAUAAGCGCAAUAAAAGUAAAAGCCGUUUCCGACGGCGUGGGGUACGAUCCCGGGGUAUUCAUUUAUCCCGGGCGCAGUACCAUCCCAUCCUAAUCGCUCGUCGAUAGGGUGGAGAUUGAGUGCAUACGUUGGGACCCGAAAGAUGGUGAACUAUGCCUGAGCAGAGCGAAGCCAGAGGAAACUCUGGUGGAGGUUCGUAGCGGUUCUGACGUGCAAAUCGAUCGUCAGACUUGGGUAUAGGGGCGAAAGACUAAUCGAACCAU